CCUACGGGAGGCAGCAGUAGGGAAUUUUCGGCAAUGGGGGGAACCCUGACCGAGCAAUGCCGCGUGAGUGAAGACGGCCUUCGGGUUGUAAAGCUCUGUUGCAGGGGAAGAACGGCAUGAAGAGGGAAUGCUUCAUGAGUGACGGUACCCUGCCAGAAAGCCACGGCUAACUACGUGCCAGCAGCCGCGGUAAUACGUAGGUGGCAAGCGUUAUCCGGAAUUAUUGGGCGUAAAGGGUGCGUAGGCGGCGGAUUAAGUCCGGAGUAAAAUUGUGGGGCUCAACCCCAUCGAGCUUUGGAAACUGGUCGGCUGGAGUGCAGGAGAGGCAGAUGGAAUUCCAUGUGUAGCGGUAAAAUGCGUAGAUAUAUGGAGGAACACCAGUGGCGAAGGCGGUCUGCUGGCCUGCAACUGACGCUGAAGCACGAAAGCGUGGGGAGCAAAUAGGAUUAGAUACCCUAGUAGUCC
rnacentral:rRNA from 1 species